rnacentral:rRNA from 1 species
UACGUAGGGGGCAAGCGUUGUCCGGAUUUAUGGGCGUAAAGAGCGUGUAGGCGGCCAGGUAGGUCCGCUGUGAAAACUCGAGGCUCAACCUCGAGAUGUCGGCGGAAACCAUCUGGCUAGAGUCCGGAAGAGGAGAGUGGAAUUCCUGGUGUAGCGGUGAAAUGCGCAGAUAUCAGGAAGAACACCCGUGGCGAAGGCGGCUCUCUGGGACGGUACUGACGCUGAGACGCGAAAGCGUGGGGAGCGAACAGG